UCUCCUCAUUCUGCGGUGACUUCGUUAGAUUCCUUUUAUAUAUGUGUAUGUCUGUGGAAGCUUCUACAGUAGUAGGUUUCCGGGUGGCUUUGCUGUCUCCUCAUAUUCCCUCUUUACCCUGGCCUCCCAUUUACCUCUUGUUUUUGGUACAACCUUGGCUAUCCCUGGAACAGAGCUUCUUUGUGCUAUCAGAAAACACUUCCCAGAAGAUUUCACCUCAAUAAUGUUGUUCUCUUCUUAAUCACCACUAAUUUCUUGGCGCCAGCGAACCAGCAUGAAUUGUCCCAGCAGUCCCUUCUAUUUUUCACUCUAAAGCCCUAGCCACAUGGCCGACGCUGCCGUAUUCUGCUGGGGUUUUUUUGUUUUGUUUUUUUGGUUUUUUUUGUGCUGAAAUAUGCCCCACCCCCUUUAUUCUGUUACCAGCUCCCUCUCUCCCUAAGCUUGGCUUUCCUGGAACUUGCUCAGUAGAUUGACCUUGAACUCGAAGAUCUGCAUGGCUCUGUCUCUAGGAUUAAAGCCUCAGACAAGACUCUUCAGACAAGGGCAAAAAGCAGCCAUGUUCGUCACCAAAAUACCACAGAAACAGCCUCUACGCCACAUACUGAAGUUCUUCUUCACUGAAACUUCUUGGGCCAGGUUCUACACAAACAGUGGACACCUCUGGGUUGACUGCUGUGUUCUACCUAGCUGACGAACACCACCCAAAGACCAGCUUCCAAUACAAACUGCUCAAGACAUUCAUACUGCUGAGUUCAUAGGACACUGACAUUCACAUUUUACAGAACUUUGAACUCAAAGAAAAACCUUAAUACUAAG